rnacentral:rRNA from 1 species
UGGGGAAUAUUGCACAAUGGGCGCAAGCCUGAUGCAGCCAUGCCGCGUGUAUGAAGAAGGCCUUCGGGUUGUAAAGUACUUUCAGCGGGGAGGAAGGCGAUAAGGUUAAUAACCUUGUCGAUUGACGUUACCCGCAGAAGAAGCACCGGCUAACUCCGUGCCAGCAGCCGCGGUAAUACGGAGGGUGCAAGCGUUAAUCGGAAUUACUGGGCGUAAAGCGCACGCAGGCGGUCUGUCAAGUCGGAUGUGAAAUCCCCGGGCUCAACCUGGGAACUGGAUUCGAAACUGGCAGGCUAGAGUCUUGUAGAGGGGGGUAGAAUUCCAGGUGUAGCGGUGAAAUGCGUAGAGAUCUGGAGGAAUACCGGUGGCGAAGGCGGCCCCCUGGACAAAGACGGACGCUCAGGUGCGAAAGCGUGGGGAGCAAACA